rnacentral:rRNA from 1 species
AACACGUGAGUAACCUGCCUUUCACUCUGGGAUAAGCCUUGGAAACGAGGUCUAAUACUGGAUAUGACUCCUUGCCGCAUGGUGGGGGGUGGAAAGCCUUCGGGUGGUGGAUGAUGGACUCGCGUACUAUCAGCUUGUUGGUGGGGUUGUGGCUCACCAAGGCUUUGACGGUUAGCCGGCCUGAGAGGGUGAUCGGCCACAUUGGGACUGAGAUACGGCCCAGACUCCUACGGGAGGCAGCAGUGGGGAAUAUUGCACAAUGGGCGAAAGCCUGAUGCAGCGACGCCGCGUGGGGGAUGAAGGCCUUCGGGUUGUAAACUCCUUUCGCUCGUGACGAAGCCUUUCGGGGUGACGGUAGCGGGAGAAGAAGCACCGGCUAACUACGUGCCAGCAGCCGCGGUAAUACGUAGGGUGCGAGCGUUGUCCGGAAUUAUUGGGCGUAAAGAGCUUGUAGGCGGUUUGUCGCGUCUGCUGUGAAAGCCCGGGGCUUAACUCCGGGUCUGCAGUGGGUACGGGCAGGCUAGAGUAUGGUAGGGGAGACUGGAAUUCCUAGUGUAGCGGUGAAAUGCGCAGAUAUUAGGAGGAACACCGAUGGCGAAGGCAGGUCUCUGGGCCAUUACUGACGCUGAGAAGCGAAAGCAUGGGGAGCAAACAGGAUUAGAUACCCUGGUAGUCCAUGCCGUAAACGUUGGGCGCUAGGUGUGGGACUCAUUCCACGAGUUCCGUGCCGUAGCUAACGCA